GCGGACGUGGUGAAAUUGGUAGACACACUGGUCUUAGAAGCCAGAGCCCUUGGGCGUGGGAGUUCGAGUCUCUUCGUCCGCACCA
rnacentral:tRNA from 1 species